rnacentral:rRNA from 1 species
UGGGGAAUUUUGGACAAUGGGCGCAAGCCUGAUCCAGCUAUUCCGCGUGUGGGAUGAAGGCCCUCGGGUUGUAAACCACUUUUGUAGAGAACGAAAAGACACCUUUUAAAAAGGUGUUGCUGACGGUACUCUAAGAAUAAGCACCGGCUAACUACGUGCC